rnacentral:tRNA from 1 species
GGUUCUGUCGGUAAUGGUUAGCACUUUGGACUCUGAAUCCAACGAUCCGAGUUCAAAUCUCGGCAGGACCA